GAUGAACGCUGGCGGCGUGCCUAACACAUGCAAGUCGAACGGUGAAGCGCCUUCCUUUUUUGUCUGUGUGUAUGAGUGGCGAGCGGGUUAGUAACUCGUUAGUAACCUUCUCCCUCCUUGUGGAUAACCGCAUGAAAGUGUGGCUAAUACGGGAUAUUCUGGACCGGUCGCAUCAUGGGUGUGAGAAAGAUAUUGUUUCGGUGGUGGAUGGGCUCGCGGCGUAUUAGCUUGUUGGUGGGGUGAUGGCUUACCAAGGCGGCGAUGCGUAGCCGGCCUGAGAGGGGGAUCGACCACACUACAACGGAGACGCGGUCCAGACGCCUACUGCAGGAAGCAGCAGGGGAUAUUCCUGAACGGUGGGAAGAAGGAUGAAGCAACGCCGCGGGGUGGAUGAUGGUCUUCUGAGCGUUGAGAUCUGUUAUCGGGGAAGAACAUAGGUUGACGUGUUUGUGGAUGGGUUGACGGUAGCUAAAUAAGAAGCGACGGCUAACUACGUG
rnacentral:rRNA from 1 species